rnacentral:rRNA from 1 species
GACGAACGCUGGCGGCGUGCUUAACACAUGCAAGUCGAGCGAGAAAGCUCUUUCGGGAGUGAGUAAAGCGGCGGACGAGUUAGUAACACGUGAGAAUCUGCCCCUCAGUGAAGAAUACCUUCGAGAAAUUGAAGUUAAUGCUGCAUACGUCUCUUCAGAGAGAUCUGAUUAGAGAAAGGUGGCCUCUUUGCUGCCGCUGAGGGAUGAGCUUGCGGACUAUUAGCUAGUUGGUGGGGUAAUGGCCUACCAAGGCGAUGAUGGUUAGCCGGCCUGAGAGGGUGUAAGGGAACGAGGGAACUUAGACACGGUCCAGACUCCAACGGGGGGCAGCAGUGAGGAAUAUUGCACAAUGGGCGCAAGCCUGAUGCAGCGACGCCGCGUGAGGGAUGACGGCCUUCGGGUUGUAAACCUCUUUCAGCAUCGACGAAGCGAAAGUGACGGUAGGUGCAGAAGAAGGACCGGCCAACUACGUGCCAGCAGCCGCAGUAA